UUUGAAUCCAGGUCUGUUUGGUUCUUAGGCUUGUGCUGAUCUGUCAUCUCGCCUGCUGAGUGCCCCUGCCCGCUGCUUCUUGCAGCCACAGCAAGGGCUGGACCAGACCACGUGCUGUCCCAGGCCUGGGUGCAGACUCCAGAGGCUUCACCACGUCUCAGCUGUGUAGCACUGGAUAAAGGGGAGAUGAAAGAAAUAAUGUCCAGCUUUAGCUGUGGUGCACGGCCUUUGAACAAGAUCUCAUUCCACAUCACUGUUACAACACUGCUGUGGAGGCUGCACAUUUCCGCUGUGUCUGCGUGGGUUUCUCUGGGAACUACAUUUUUUCCCCGCACCCUACAGACAUGCACGUCAGGGUUUGGCUUUCAAGACCUGACCGGCAGUGCGAAGUGAGGACCUGCUGCCCCUUGCUCUGGGCUGACUCUGUGGAGGCAGUACUUCUA